GCGGCGCCUGUGGGCACGCUGAGGUGGUGGGCAUUUUGUGGUGGCGAAGGCUGGGGACAGCGGAGCUUCCCUGACGUGUGGUAGCAGCUCCUCUGACUGCUCUCCGAUGGGUUGAGGCUUACACUUACCUGUCUUCUGAAGACAAAUCGUAGCUAGCAGAGGGAAGCUGGAAUAUGAGACUGGACUUUACCAGAAUGGCUGCAAUCCACAGUUGUAUCCCAGCUGAAAUGUGUUCCUGUGCUACUGGGUCUGCAAAUGCUGCAUGAGGACCUGAAGCAUGAAGAUAACUUCAAGUUGUGUGUACUUACUGAUGAUGAAUUGGAGGAAAAGAUGAAGGAAACUAUUUUCCUCCAUAAAUUAGCUUUUAGCAUAAAUCCUAAUGUCUGCU